CCUACGGGUGGCUGCAGUGGGGAAUAUUGGACAAUGGGCGAAAGCCUGAUCCAGCCAUGCCGCGUGUGUGAAGAAGGCCUUCGGGUUGUAAAGCACUUUCAGUGGGGAAGAAAGCCUUGGGGCUAAUACCCUCGAGGAAGGACAUCACCCACAGAAGAAGCACCGGCUAACUCCGUGCCAGCAGCCGCGGUAAUACGGAGGGUGCGAGCGUUAAUCGGAAUUACUGAGCGUAAAGCGCGCGUAGGCGGUCUGAUAAGCCGGUUGUGAAAGCCCCGGGCUCAACCUGGGAACGGCAUCCGGAACUGUCAGGCUAGAGUGCAGGAGAGGAAGGUAGAAUUCCCGGUGUAGCGGUGAAAUGCGUAGAGAUCGGGAGGAAUACCAGUGGCGAAGGCGGCCUUCUGGACUGACACUGACGCUGAGGUGCGAAAGCGUGGGUAGCAAACAGGAUUAGAUACCCCAGUAGUC
rnacentral:rRNA from 1 species